rnacentral:rRNA from 1 species
UACGGGGGGGGCAAGCGUUGUUCGGAAUCACUGGGCGUAAAGGGUGCGUAGGCGGGUCUUUAAGUCAGGGGUGAAAUCCUGGAGCUCAACUCCAGAACUGCCUUUUGAUACUGAAGAUCUUGAGUUCGGGAGAGGUGAGUGGAACUGCGAGUGUAGAGGUGAAAUUCGUAGAUAUUCGCAAGAACACCAGUGGCGAAGGCGGCUCACUGGCCCGGUACUGACGCUGAGAUGCGAAAGUGUGGGGAGCAAACGGGG